rnacentral:rRNA from 1 species
AUUGAACGCUGGCGGCAGGCUUAACACAUGCAAGUCGAGCGAGCGGCGGACGGGUGAGUAAUGUCUGGGAAACUGCCUGAUGGAGGGGGAUAACUACUGGAACCGGUAGCUAAUACCGCAUACCAUCAGAUGUGCCCAGAUGGGAUUAGCUAGUAGGUGGGGUAAUGGCCACCCGAGGCGACGAUCCCUAGCUGGUCUGAGAGGGUGACCAGCCACACUGGAACUUGGCCAGUGUCCUGACUCCUACGGUAGGCAGCAGUGGGGAAUAUUGCACAAUGGGCGCAGGCCUGAUGCAGCCAUGCCGCGUGUUGGAAGAAGGCCUUCGGGUUGUAAAGCACUUUCGGCGAGGAGGCGUUACUCGCAGAAGAAGCACCGGCUAACUCCGUGCCAGCAGCCGCGGUAAUAC